rnacentral:lncRNA from 1 species
CUUCACAAAAGUGUGCCCAUGUGCUUAAAUGUCUUCAUUCCCUCCUCUUCUCCAUGUCAUAUAAUUAACUCAUACUGAUAUCUCAAGUUGUAGUUCCAGAAUUGGCUGUGCCAGGAUCCCAAGCAUUAUGUCUCUCUCUCCAAUCACAAGAAUUAUCUGAAAAUCUUUCUUCUCAACAUCCAUAGAAUUCAGAGUGGUGCUGUUCCAUGCCACACAUCACAAUCAAUGGCACUUCUGUCUCUAGGAUAGAAGCAUCUUGAGGCCACAAAACUAUGUGCUGCGAUAUGAAGAGAAAUGCCAUUGUUCUUACUGGAUGAUUUCCUAUCAGAGCCCAUCAGGGGGUCCAGGCAUUUACAGUGAAGCCCAGUAAUUGUACUAUCUUGCUUGGUGGGUCCUGCCCCUCAACCUUCUUCUGCUCUACUCUCCAGCUCAAGGAAUGGCAUCAUUGUUUCCUAACUGACCAGGUUCCAUUUUGUGAGCAAGCUGGCUCUCCAGCCACAAUCUUCCUGCCUCACAACUCCAGGUUCGGAGUAGCUGGCAGAGUACUGAAACCGACUCCGAGUAGACCAAGCUUCAUCCGUGCGUUCACCUCUGAAACAAAUACAUGACUGUUGAGUGGGUGCUCCCCUCACUGAAUGCUCGGUCAGAUGCUCACUGUUGGAUUCCAGCAAAGAGAAUCACUAAGAUCACGUAAAGUGUAGUGUCUCCAAAGAAACUAGGGAAUGUUGCUGGAAGAAGAGGCAGAAAAUGCUGAGAAAAAUGUGCUUAUGGUAGUGUCUGUUUAGGCAUUUAUGGGAUGCCAACUUUACUCAAGAUGUUUUUGGAACUCUUGUCUUUGUAUGGAAAGCAUAUGAAUCACUCCACCAAAAAUAGUAUUAUUAUUCUAUAUUCCUAGUACAUCUUCUACUGAGCAAGGAUUUAUGAAAUUUAAUUAGCCAUCUCACUUGUUAGCCCCACUGUGACUGACUUUUAACUAGUUCCCAAACAGAAAUAAUCUAUGCAGGAAGAGUUUGCUCAUGUUGAGAGUAUUCACAAGAGCAUAGCUGAUAUUCUCAUGUCAAUUCCAGAAGCUUAAGUCUGAAGAUAUUCUGGGAAAAUAUCAGCACCUUUGGCAAAAAUGUGUAAUAUUUCAUGUUGACUGCCCUGAAAGAGUCUACCCUAAUUUGGAGACAGACAGACAGAUAGAUAGAUAGCCUUGUCUAUUUGGGUACAAAAUAUCCCUCUAGAGCAGUAUGGUUACAAGUAUAGGCUUUGGAGCUUGAUUACCUGGGCUUGAAUCCCAGGUUAGCUACUGUGUGAUACUCUCUACCUCAAAAUUUUCAUGUAAAGUAAUAAAAAUAAUAAUUAUAAUA